CUACUGGAUGAGUUCUGCUGGGAGAUGGAACAUAGCACGUUUCUGUCUGGCCUGGUACUGGCUACCCUUCUCUCCCAAGCUGCCGACACACAAGUUCUGUUGAGGAAUGACCAGGUCUAUCAGCCCCUCCGAGAUCGAGAUGAUGCUCAGUACAGCCGCCUUGGAGGAAACUGGGCUCGGAACAAGUGAACCUGAGACUGGUGGCUUCUAGAAGCAUCCAUUACCAACUGUACCUUCCCUUCUUGCUCAGCCAAUAA
rnacentral:sRNA from 1 species